UCUCACCUCGAAGGGGAGGAUCGGAGCCUCGAGAGGCCAAGGAAGGAAGUCAAGAUAGUCAAGUGGGCCGUCUCAGAUCUGGUCUUGCUCGAGCUAUGCAAAUGCCUCUCAGGGAGAGGUGAGGACCUGUCUAUUAUAAUGACUAGGCCCACAUCCAGGGGGACAACAGACUUUCAUCUAUCAGCCCUUUUCAACCAUUGAUCUACUAAACUGGAAACACUGUGAACCCGCCACCUUGCUCUCGGCAACUAGAGCCCUGUUGAGCAUAACUGUGUAGAGGUGUUGGACUCAAGUUUACUCUAGCAGACCUGACCUCCAGGACCAGCCUUGGGCAUCAGUAGACUGGGAGCUAUACGUGGAUGGGAACAGCUUCAUCAACCCACAAGGAGACAGAUGUGCAGGAUAUAAGGUGAUAACCCUGGACACUGUCGCUAAGCUGAGCUCAUUGCUUUAAUUCAGACCUUAGAACUCAGUGAAG
rnacentral:lncRNA from 1 species